ACCAGGAUCUGCUACAUAAGCAAUUGGGCCCAUACCCCAAAAACGGUACCUACUACCUCCUGAUA
rnacentral:tRNA from 1 species